AUUGAACGCUGGCGGCAGGCCUAACACAUGCAAGUCGAGCGAGCGGCGGACGGGUGAGUAAUAUAUGGGGAUCUGCACGAUAGAGGGGGAUAACUACUGGACACGGUGGCUAACCCCGUAUACUAUCGGGUGAACCCAUAUGGGAUUAGCUAGGAGGUGGGGUAAAGGCGCACCUAGGCGACGAGCUCUAGCUGGUCUGAGAGGAUGAUCAGUCACACUGGGACUGAGACACGGCCCAGACUCCUACGGGAGGCAGCAGUGGGGAAUAUUGCACAAUGGGCGCAAGCCUGAUGCAGCCAUGCCGCGUGUAUGAAGAAGGCCUUAGGGUUGUAAAGUACUUUCAGCGGGGAGGCGUUACCCGCAGAAGAAGCACCGGCUAACUCCGUGCCAGCAGCCGCGGUAAUAC
rnacentral:rRNA from 1 species